rnacentral:rRNA from 1 species
GAAUAAGCACCGGCUAACUACGUGCCAGCAGCCGCGGUAAUACGUAGGGUGCAAGCGUUAUCCGGAAUUAUUGGGCGUAAAGGGCUCGUAGGCGGUUCGUCGCGUCCGGUGUGAAAGUCCAUCGCUUAACGGUGGAUCCGCGCCGGGUACGGGCGGGCUUGAGUGCGGUAGGGGAGACUGGAAUUCCCGGUGUAACGGUGGAAUGUGUAGAUAUCGGGAAGAACACCAAUGGCGAAGGCAGGUCUCUGGGCCGUUACUGACGCUGAGGAGCGAAAGCGUGGGGAGCGAACAGGAUUAGAUACCCUGGUAGUCCACGCCGUAAACGGUGGAUGCUGGAUGUGGGGCCCGUUCCACGGGUUCCGUGUCGGAGCUAACGCGUUAAGCAUCCCGCCUGGGGAGUACGGCCGCAAGGCUAAAACUCAAAGAAAUUGACGGGGGCCCGCACAAGCGGCGGAGCAUGCGGAUUAAUUCGAUGCAACGCGAAGAACCUUACCUGGGCUUGACAUGUUCCCGACAGCCGUAGAGAUACGGUUUCCCUUCGGGGCGGGUUCACAGGUGGUGCAUGGUCGUCGUCAGCUCGUGUCGUGAGAUGUUGGGUUAAGUCCCGCAACGAGCGCAACCCUCGCCCCGUGUUGCCAGCGGAUUAUGCCGGGAACUCACGGGGGACCGCCGGGGUUAACUCGGAGGAAGGUGGGGAUGACGUCAGAUCAUCAUGCCCCUUACGUCCAGGGCUUCACGCAUGCUACAAUGGCCGGUACAACGGGAUGCGACACGGCGACGUGGAGCGGAUCCCUGAAAACCGGUCUCAGUUCGGAUUGGAGUCUGCAACCCGACUCCAUGAAGGCGGAGUCGCUAGUAAUCGCGGAUCAGCAACGCCGCGGUGAAUGCGUUCCCGGGCCUUGUACACACCGCCCGUCAAGUCAUGAAAGUGGGUAGCACCCGAAGCCGGUGGCCCAACCUUUUUGGGGGGAGCCGUCUAAGGUGAGACUCGUGAUUGGGACUAAGUCGUAACAAGGUAGCCGUACCGGAAGGUGCGGCUG